rnacentral:rRNA from 1 species
CAUGCAAGUCGAACGGAGUUACUUUGGUGAAGUUUUCGGAUGGAUCUGAUUUAACUUAGUGGCGGACGGGUGAGUAAUGCGUGAGCAACCUGCCCUUCAGAGGGGGACAACAGUUGGAAACGACUGCUAAUACCGCAUAAUGUAUUCGGAAGGCAUCUUCUGGAUACCAAAGGAGAAAUCCGCUGAUGGAUGGGCUCACGUCUGAUUAGCUAGUUGGUGAGGUAACGGCUCACCAAGGCUGCGAUCAGUAGCCGGACUGAGAGGUUGAACGGCCACAUUGGGACUGAGAUACGGCCCAGACUCCUACGGGAGGCAGCAGUGGGGAAUAUUGGGCAAUGGGCGAAAGCCUGACCCAGCAACGCCGCGUGAAGGAAGAAGGCCUUCGGGUUGUAAACUUCUUUUAAGAGGGACGAAGAAGUGACGGUACCUCUUGAAUAAGCCACGGCUAACUACGUGCCAGCAGCCGCGGUAAUACGUAGGUGGCGAGCGUUAUCCGGAUUUACUGGGUGUAAAGGGCGCGUAGGCGGGAAUGCAAGUCAGAUGUGAAAUCCAAGGGCUCAACCCUUGAACUGCAUUUGAAACUGUAUUUCUUGAGUGUCGGAGAGGUUGACGGAAUUCCUAGUGUAGCGG